rnacentral:rRNA from 1 species
CAAUAGCGUAUAUUAAAGUUGUUGCAGUUAAAAAGCUCGUAGUUGGAUUUCGGGACGGGCCAGUUGGUCCGCCGCAAGGUGUGUUACUGACUGGUCUGUUCUUCUUCGCAAAGACUGCGCGUGCUCUUCGUUGAGUGUGCGUAGGAUUUACGACGUUUACUUUGAAAAAAUUAGAGUGUUCAAAGCAGGCUAUCGCUUGAAUACAUGAGCAUGGAAUAAUGGAAUAGGACUUUGGUCCUAUUUUGUUGGUUUCUAGGACCGAAGUAAUGAUUAAGAGGGACAAUUGGGGGCAUCCGUAUUUCGUUGUCAGAGGUGAAAUUCUUGGAUUUACGAAAGACGAACAACUGCGAAAGCACUUGCCAAGAGUGUUUUCAUUAA